CAGAACUUGAGUCUGUCAUUCAAUAUUUUUGGAUGGGAUUGCCAUGACAGCAAGACACCUUUGAAGCAGACUUCAGUGGAAUCGCAGUGCUCGCUGCAGGCUCUAAGACCCAGAUGGAUCCUUCUCGCGCUGAAGUGGGUGAAAGAUGCCGAUAGUCGGGCAGCGAAGCGGAAACUAUUUUGAUGGACAUUGCACUGAACCAUUCAAUUAAAAAGGUCGGCCGCGCGGCGUUUCGGCUAGCCAAUGAAUGAGAGGGGAAGGCGGGCCAGCUGGUGAUCGGCUUAAGUUGAGAGGAGAGUUCGGAGCUAACACGGUCGCUGUGGGAACCGUAACAGCUGGAGUGGAACCAAUGGCAGUUAACGGCGGCCAGCGCGAGACUGACUGAUGGUGACAGUUGGAAACAACAGUCUAGCGGUCCCAAUUCUCCUGUCUUUCCCAAGAAACUAGAAGGCAACAUUUCCUACCUUGAAAGUCAGAGGUUACAUGGUGGCAGCUCAUGCUUCCUCCUUCAUCCCUUCAGACAACGCUGUCUUCACCAUGCCAUCACUGCAUGCUCAUUGGAUACUGUUCUCAUUCACUUUAAUCCAUGUAAUGGGCAUCAGCGAGCCAUCAACUUCCACACAUCAUCAUGACAGCUUACACACCACUUCACCCCUUCAGAACUUCAGUUUGGAGUUCAGGACUUAAUUUAUGGCCAAGUCACCCUGCACAAAGGGACAUAAAAGCAUUUCAUGCAUUUAUGUAGGAUGCAUCUUGUGACUGUUAGAUUACUUCUUCAAUGCUCACUCAGGUUACGCUUACUUAGAGACUGUCAGUUUGGACUAGUGUUUCGCCUGCAAAGUUUUUGAGCACACAAGCUCUUACAGACUUCCAGCUUCUGAAAUUUUCACACAGUUGGAGAGGUACAUUGUUCUGUUCUCUGAACCAUGAGAAGCAGUCAAGGUGGCGGACAGGGUGAUGUACAAAAAUGUGCUACAUGAAAGUCAUAACUAGAAAAUGUUCUAGCAUUCUAUAUAGCAAACACACAAACAACCAAAUGACGAUGUCUGAAAAUCAAUGCACAGUAGUGCUUAGUAGAGUAAAGGGGUUAUGGUCAGUCAGUCAGUGCUACCAAUCAAAGAGCAUCUCAUUCUUGUCCAGAGGUUUGGCCACAGUCACUCUGGCACUUGGUCCAACCCAGAGUCUGGGGAUCUAUGUCCUUGCAAUCUGGCAAUUGGGCCACAGUCAGUUCCUCAGGUUCUCCAAUGCAGCUAGUCCAAGGAUUUCAGGUGCAUCAGUCAGGGUGUUGCAGAGAUAUUAACUAGAGUCUUGCAAAGUCAGUCCAGGUAUUGGGCUGUAGUCACCCUGCGGGUUUGGCUGUCGAUAGUCAGGGGAUUUAUUAAGGCCGGUCUGUUAAAUCCUAGCAGAGUAAGAAGUUCUAGUCUUGUGUUGGUGUUCACUUUACUGGGAUCUGAAGGAAUGAUUACAAUGAAAGAGAUCAAUUGGGCACAUUAGAAGUUAUAUAAAGGAACUGAGUAGAAAUGUGGUUGGCGGAGUUGGAAAUCUUAUUGGGGGGACACAGACAAAAACACAAUUGAGCACAUGAAGGAUAGUAGUUUCCUGCUGUUUUUUAGACAGGGCCUGCUAUCAGUCACAAGGACACAGAC